UACGAAGGGGGCUAGCGUUGCUCGGAAUCACUGGGCGUAAAGCGCGCGUAGGCGGCUUUGCAAGUCGGGGGUGAAAUCCCGAGGCUCAACCUCGGAACUGCCUUCGAUACUGCAAAUCUCGAGUCCGGAAGAGGUGAGUGGAAUUCCUAGUGUAGAGGUGAAAUUCGUAGAUAUUAGGAAGAACACCAGUGGCGAAGGCGGCUCACUGGUCCGGUACUGACGCUGAGGCGCGAAAGCGUGGGGAGCAAACAGG
rnacentral:rRNA from 1 species